AAGGCAGAACGGAGAGAAGAUGAAGACACGGGAAACGCGCUGCAGGAUUGCCGCUAUGGCGACUCAGGUGCUGGGGCAGUCCGGUGGGAACGGCCUGUUUCCCGGCAGCGCCGGCAUCGGCAUGGCGCUGUCUAACGACAUGUACGACUUGCACGACCUCUCCAAAGCGGAGCUGGCAGCUCCUCAGCUCAUUAUGUUGGCAAACGUGGCCUUGACGGGAGAAGUGAACGGCAACUGCUGCGACUACCUGGUCGGGGAGGAGAGGCAGAUGGCUGAACUGACGACGGUGGGGGACAGCAACUUCUCCGACAGCGACGGAGAGGGCAUGGAAGAUAGCCGAGCUGCGGAGAGCGACCGUGAGGCGCCCGAAAACGUGGAAUUAAGCUCUCUUGAGGUUCCUAGCGUGGACACCCAAGAUGCGGUUGCUUGCUCCGCUCCUGAAGCUCCCAGCGCGGACAAAGAUGUCCCACUGGAAGCACCAGGUACUCCAGAAAGCACGGAGGACAAGUGCAAGAGCUUGAAGAGCAAGCCGUUUCGUUGUAAGCCGUGCCAGUACGAGGCGGAGUCCGAAGAGGAGUUCGUGCAUCAUAUCAGGGUUCACAGCGCGAAGAAAUUCUUUGUGGAAGAAAACGCGGAGAAGCAAGCCCAGGUCAAGGAGUUUGAUUCCUGCAGCACCGAAGAGGUGGAUUUCUCUAAGGGCCCAAUCCGUUGUGAUCGUUGUGGCUAUAACACUAACAGAUACGAUCACUAUCUGGCUCACUUGAAACACCACAACAAAGCGGGAGAAAACGAGAGAGUCUACAAGUGUACCAUAUGCACUUAUACUACCGUCAGUGAAUAUCACUGGAAGAAACACCUAAGAAAUCAUUUUCCCAGGAAAGUCUAUACCUGCUCACAAUGCUCCUAUUUUUCAGACAGGAAGAACAACUAUAUUCAACAUAUUCGAACUCACACGGGAGAGCGGCCCUAUCAAUGUGCUAUGUGUCCCUACUCCAGCUCUCAGAAGACCCAUUUGACCAGGCACAUGCGCACUCACUCAGGUGAGAAGCCGUUCAAAUGUGAUCAGUGCAGCUACGUGGCCUCCAACCAGCACGAAGUAACUCGUCACGCGAGGCAGGUUCACAACGGGCCAAAGCCCCUGACUUGCCCACACUGUGACUACAAAACAGCUGACCGCAGCAAUUUCAAAAAGCACGUCGAGCUCCACAUUAAUCCACGCCAGUUCCUCUGCCCCGUUUGUGAUUACGCGGCGUCUAAAAAAUGUAACCUGCAGUAUCACAUCAAAUCCAGGCAUCCCGAUUGUUCUGACAUCACCAUGGAUGUUUCAAAAGUGAAGCUACGGACUAAAAAGAGUGAGGCUGAUUUUUCUGAGGGCGUUAACGACAAAGCGGAGAAGGAACAAACGAAAGGGGAUUCGGCCGCAAAGAAAACCGAGAAGACGGUGAAAGUGGAGAAAAAAGAGAAUUUGGCGAAGGAAAAGAAGCCAACGAGCAAUGUUUGCGCGGGCCAGGUGACAACCAGGAGUCGGAAAUCAGCUUCAGAAAACAAGGAGGUGGAUAUUAAAACUGAGAAAAAUAUUGAGAAACCAUGUAAAACUAAGAAGACCAAAAGAAAGGCAGAGGCUGAAGUAACUUCCUCAAAGGAAGAGCCUGAAAACGACGCCUCAGCAGUAACAAAAAAGAAAAAGAAAGUGGAAACUAAACCCAGAGAUUGCCAGGAAGCUCAAAAGAGUGAUAUUGCACCAGAGGAGGAGCCUAAAAAGCAGAAUGCUUGCCUUAAGAAAAACAGAAAAAAGAAAGCUCUGAAAAACAAGCACAGUAAGAAAAGCAGUAAGCCUGAUCAGGAGAAGAUCGAGGAAGAGGAGAACGCAGAAGAGUGUCCCUCUGCAGAAGAGGAAGGGUGCGCGAAGCCCGGCGGUCAGGGCAGCAGCCAGGAGGAGCAAGACGCGGCCGACGGGGCGGCGUUGGACGACGUCGGCGGUCGUGCCCCCAAGGGGGAGAGCUGCGAUCCCGGCGGAGGCUGCGCGCAGGAGCCAGCGCAGCUUUGCUUGCCGCCUCGAGACGCGAACAUGGAGGCCGAGGGAGAAGACCAAGAAGAACCUGCCGCAGCAGAAGACGACAAAGACGCUACUAGCGAAAAAGAGGAGGAGAAAGAGGCAGGAGAAGGGCAAGACGCGGGCUCUGAGGAAGCUCCCGGCGCGGCGUCUUCUGAACAGAGCUUGGAUUUGCCCAUGGAGGUUUCGCCGGCUCCGGCACCCGAGACGGAGCGGGAGGAAACGCGCGUGGCGGGAGCCGCGAGCAACGCGGACCCGCUGGACCUCGCUACGACGCGCCCGCCAGCGACGGAGCCGGCGGGAGACGCCGUGCCGGCCCCCGCGCCCCCAGAGGGGUCUGCGCAGAGCCGUACCGCAGCUCUGGACUUGCCGCCUCCGGGUAGCACAGCAGUGAACGAAUCUCAGGAGAUGGAGGAGGACGAGGGUAUCCACAGCCACGAGGGCAGCGACAUCAGUGACAACGUAUCGGAAGGAAGUGACGAUUCGGGGUUAAACGGCGCUCGCUCCGUUCAGGAGGAAGCGAGCCCGAAGGCAUCGCAGGGAGCCGCAGCCGCUGCCGCGGCAGCCAGCGAGAACUAUGUGUGCAUUUUUUGUGACCGCUCGUUUGACAAGGAAGGUGAAUACAGCAAGCACCUCAAUCGUCAUUUAGUCAACGUGUAUUAUCUGGAGAAGGCAACGAAGGGGCAGGAGUAGAAACAGCUGUGGUUUGGGGGCACAUUUAUCUUCUUUUGUAAGAUCUUAUACAGCUUAUGUACAGAUACUGUAGAUUUUUUUUUUUUAAGCACGGUUUGCUUUAAUUAGCAUCUGCGUUUUUUUUUGGAGUUGAAAAUAUUUUUGCCAACUUUUUGUGUAAUGGUGAACUCAGCUGUUGGAUCUCUCUGUUAGAGAAGGCAGGUCGGGUAUACGAGGCAGUGUCCUGUGAAAUCAGUGUAAGCUUCUAGUCUAUUAGCUUACGCAAUUAUUUUCUAAAUUGAGCUUUAGAAACCAGAGUGUAGCUACCCAUACACAAGUGAGACGUUUAUAGUACCAUUGGCAUUAGUCGCUUUUUUUUUCAUUCUAGCAGCCAAUUCUUUCCUCCUUUCUCUUUUUAGUUCUUAACGUGUCUUGGUGUUCGAAGCGUUAAACUACUCAGUGGUUUUUCUACCGGGAAGAUAGCUUCUAUUACAUAAAAGAGCACUUUGUAAAACAAAUCAAAGUUGGCUAGCAAUGAACAUAACUGUUGGAGAUAAUUGUAAUUGUGAACGUACAUUUCAGAUCCCCUAAGCGUGAAUGGUGAGCCAAAAUCCGGGAGCAGUCCUUCCAACUUUUGAUUGGAGAACCUCUAUCUUGAUUAAUAUCUUAAUAACUAUGCUGUGUAAUGGGCUUUGUUGUGGGGGAGCAAGUUUGUUUGUUUUUUUAAUUAUUUUCUACUCUUCUUUUUUUUGAUUGUGCUUUAAGGGCUUAAAAUAUUGCACAUUAUGUUUUUGAUUUUUUACCUAUGCAGUUUAAUCCUUUAGGAAUAGCGCUUGUGCAGUACAUGUACACUUUAUAUAUGCAUGUUUGGUUUUGUUUGUGUAAGCUUUUAUUUUUAUUUUGGAACAUUCAGAUUCGUUGCUUACCAUGGGCCAGUUUUCUGUGAUGCUCUUUCUGCAGGUUUUCUUGUUUUCAUGGGGUAUUAUUAGCUGUGCAUGAAAUAAUUGCUGAAAUUACGAACUGUUUGGUUACGUAUUUUUGACUAGCUUUAAAAUUGUGUAGUUGGUGGGUAAAAGGAUACCAAUGCAAGUUCAAAACACUAUUUUGAAUUGUAGUCAUGACAUUUUCGUAGGUUUUAUCCCAUGGAAAUGCCACUUGUGAUAGUUUUAAUAUGUAUACAGAGUAUGAAUUGUUAUUUAUAAUUUGGAAUCGUCAGAAAGCAAAAUAUUCUCAGUGGAAAUGGUCUGCAGAUUUUGCAAGUCUAGAUGAUUUCUUUCCCCUUUUCAUUUCAGUGGUGGACAGCAGUCAAACUUCAUGAGCUAAAAAAAAAUAAUAAUAGUAGUAAUAGUAGUAGCACUGAUGUAAGUAUGGUUCAUCAAUAUGUAACAUCUCACGCACCAAAAAGAAAAAAAAUAAAGAUAAACCAACUGGUAAGCAACAAACCUGGCAUUAAGAACUGUAGGAAUUCCUGCUCCUUAUUCAUUCAAGUUGCAGUCAAUAGGAUCAUCUUGCUUCCCUGCAGACAGAGAAACACGUAAGUGGUCAGACUGUGACCUCAGGUCUACGUGCAAGAAACGUCCUACCGCGAGUUUCUAAUUCUGACCAGAUUUCUCUUCUGGCACACAGAAAUGUAAGAGAGUUUGCAUGCCAGUGGCAGAACACAAACAAAAAUCCAAGCCAGGAAAGAAAGAAAGGAAAAGGGAAAAAAAAAAAAAAAAAAAAAAAAAAAAAAAAAGCAAACUCCUCCAGUCCCAUCAGUGCUGCAGAAGACUUUCUUUAGGUCCUUUCCAGUUGGAGCAGUGGGGGCAGCUUCUCCAGCUGUCAGCUCUAAAGAAGCAAAUUUGGAGGCAGGUAUCCUCUGGGGAGCCUGGAGUUGAGGAACUCGGUCAGUAUUUGCCAAAGCACUUGAUGGCAAGUACUCGCAAAGCAAGCGAGCUCCGGAAUAAACUCCGUUCCUCUCGGCCGGACCCUGCACCGUCCUCGCGGCCGGCCGGACCCUCUGCCUUGAAUGAAUAGAGAACAAGAACGCUACACUGCUUCGGGGCGAGAUUGGUGAUAGGAGGCCAAAGAUUUGAGAGGGAGGGCAUCCCUCGUGGCAGAAAUAAAUUGUAUAGUGAGGUUUUUUUUUUUGUUCGCUUGAAUAGUGUUCGAUCCUUACCUUGGCUGCGACAAUCAUUGUCAACUGAAGAUCAAGUUGCAACUAUAUUUAUGUUGAGAAAAUAAAUCUAGUUGAAUUGUUUUUCUAAGCAACCGGUUGUAAUAGUCAUAGAUGUAUUUUUCCUUUUCUUGAUAAUAGUGUGUUUCCUUUGUAUACAAGCGUUGCCACUGUUUUGUGAGCGAUGAGAGCAGAUGCUGGGAAUUCCAGUAUUAUGUAGAGGUUUUAUAGCUCCCUUUAUAUGCUUGCGAAGAGCCUUUUACCAUCUCGCGAGAGACUUCAAGGACUUUAGCUAUAUUCAGAUAAACUUGUGGACCGGCCUCGCUAUUUUUGUUCGUUUUUUUAUUUUAUUUUAAUGGAGAUACGGUGUUGAUAUUGACUUUGACUCUCUCGCUACGAGACGAACACAAAGGUAUGGCUCUCUGAAACACGCUGCUGUACGUCGCUGUGAAGCGGUCGAGGCUCUAGUGCUUGAUCUGACAAGAACUCUUGGGAGAGGACAGUGCUUCUGUUCAGCAGUGUUUCCUACCACAAGAUUAGAAGCUGAGAAUAAAUUACUGAAACAUUAAGAAGAAAAGUUGAUCCUUUCAAUUGGAAACCCUACCAGCAACGACCUGAAAUACCCAGUGUCAGGGCGUAACUGCGUUGGAAUUCUCCGUUUUGGCUUUUUAAAAGAACUAAAAGACCAAGAUUUGGGAGUAUGUUAAGCAGCAGCGCGAGCACUGGACAGAGCUCUUCGAGCCCAGCAAAGGCAGCAGGUGUCAAGCCAGCGUGGUCUUGCAGAGCCAGCGCCUAGAUGCCACGUGCACCAGCUUGGUUGCAGACAGGGACAACGGCUCUGGAAACGUACUCAUUUUCCAUCUGUCCCGUGGCUGGAACAUUACUUAGGUUUGCAGGUACACCAAAGUUUGGAUCGAGCAAAGUUCGAGGACAGAAAUGCCAGGGUCCUGAUGGUUGGUUGGUUUGGUUUUAAAGCUUAGCAGUGCUGGCGCAAGCAGACAGUCACAGGAUAGGCAGGGAGAAGCUGUUCCUAGCAGGCCAAAACCCUUCCCCAAAAUACCACUUUCUUGGUGGUGCUUUCCAGGGGCCGGACGAAGGUCACAGCUGGGUUUAUUUCUGCUGCAAACAACUAAAGCAGAGUCAGGGGCAAAAAGCUCAGCAGGAAGAUAGUGACUGCUCCUUUGGACACAAGCACGCGGGCAAUGCUCAGGCUGGUCAUGAAGCAGCAGGCCCACCUCCAGAAGAGAUGCCCCCUCCCCCACAAGUGUCUUCAGCAGGGACUCCGAAGGUGAAACCGCCACCGAGGAGUAAUUUUUGGUUGAAGUGGAGACUUCAGGAGCUACCUUGCCCUCUCAUCCGGCUCUGCUACCUGCACUGCUUUUUGGAUGCCCUGAGCCCUGCACUUACGGAGCAAAAACCAAAAAGGCAGCUGAGCCCUUUGCCCAUUGCUGGGUUGGGGGACCUGGUUUUAAUAAAUGUCUCUUAUUUAUUA